CACAGUCCACAUUUAGACCUCAGUCUUUCCCAGACAUUCAGACCCAGCUGGCUGUAGCAGGCCGGUAGUGCACGGAUUCCCUUGUCUCCUCCGUCUUUUCCGUCCAUAACCACCUCCUUUCCUUCCUCCCCUUCGCCGCCCUUCUUCUCUUUGCCUGGACGUCUGUAUCUGAUAUGGUGGCAGUGCCUGCCAGAUGUCUGAGUUGGACAGUGGUUUGAGGGUUGUUGUCCAGGGUUUGGCCAGUUGAUCUGGUUUUACAAACGCAGACCUUCUGCUCCUCUUCCCCAGCCAUGGAGCCUUUUGCCGAGGUCCCGUUAUUUGAGAUGGACCAUGAGGAAGAUGAGGAAGAGAAUGUUCUCUCAGUGAAGAGUAAAGGCACAGAUCCUGACACGUUCAUAUACAUGAACUUCAUGAAGACUCACUGCUGCUACGAUGCUAUUCCUACCAGCUCUAAACUGGUCAUUUUUGACACGACACUACAGGUGAAGAAGGCUUUCUUUGCUCUGGUAGCUAACGGUGUGAGGGCAGCGCCGCUGUGGGACAACAAGCUUAAGUGUUUUGUGGGUAUGCUGACCAUCACUGACUUCAUCAACAUACUCCAUCGCUAUUACAAGUCUCCUCUGGUUCAGAUCUAUGAGCUAGAAGAACACAAGAUCGAGACAUGGAGAGAGAUCUAUCUACAGUACUCUAUCAACACACUGAUCAGCAUCACUCCUGACUGCAGUCUGUUUGAUGCCAUCUACUCUUUGUUGAAGAAUAAGAUACACCGGCUGCCGGUCAUCGACCCCGCAACAGGAAACGUCCUCCACAUCCUCACUCACAAACGCAUCCUCAAGUUCCUCCACAUCUUUGGAUCUAUGAUGCCUAAGCCAAGGUUUCUUCAGAAGCGGAUCAAUGAAGUGGCGAUCGGUACCUUCAAACAGAUCGCGACAGUCCAGGAAUCGGCUUCUGUCUUUGACGCUCUGACCAUUUUUGUGGAGAGAAGAGUGUCUGCUCUGCCUGUAGUCAACGAGCAAGGUAAAGUGGUGGCGCUGUACUCCAGGUUUGAUGUCAUUAACCUGGCAGCCCAGAAGAACUACAACAACCUGGACAUGACGAUGCGGGAGGCCGUCUCCUCCAGAGCCUGCUGUGUGGAGGGAGUCCUCAAGUGUUACCCUUACGAAACCCUAGAGACCAUCAUCGACCGCAUCGCAAAGGCCGAGGUGCAUCGUUUGGUGUUGGUUGACAGUGAUGAUGUGGUGAGAGGGAUUGUCUCUCUAUCUGACCUUCUACAAGCCCUGGUUCUCACUCCUGCAGGUAUUGAUGCACUGUACUCCUAACUCCACCCCUUCCGUUCAUCCCUUUGCUCUUUCUCUCAAUAUUAUCCCGACAUCUACCUUCACAUCCUCGAAGGCUUCCUGCUCCUUCUGCCGAUCUAGUUUCUUCUCUUCCUACUGACUAAACUCUUCUUCAUCUUCAACUUUAAAUCCUCCUGAAGACAAUGAGGGUCUUUCUUCUGUUCCUGGGAAAUCUUCUGACAAACAGGAACCAAUUUCCUCCUGAUCCUUUCAAGAAUACUUACCAGGAAUAAACAAAUUACACCCUUUAGGUAUUCAUCUGAAGCCCCGCCCACCUCCCCUGCUAAUCAAAGAUCAACCUCUCAAAUAUUUUCUUGAACCUUCUGUUCCUUCAACCAAUCACCUCAUCGGGAACACACGUCAUUUAAUGUCCUCUAAAACUCAUUAGAAGCAUCAAACUAAAAGUCCCUAGUGCCUGCUUUGAUACUUCCUGCCCCUGGAAAAUAAACAAAAACCCCCGCCCAGCCAAAAUCAACUUUGCUUUAACUAUUAAAUACCUAAUCUUCCAAUCCAACGGCCAAACCAGUUCAGUUGCCUCCAUGAAAAUCCUCCAAUUCUACAAAGUUGGAUGCCCCCCAACGUCUUCAUGCUGCGGUUCCUUCUGUGAAGCCACCAGCACCUCUUAGCCAACACAUCCCAGAUACGUUUGAGGGAUCAUGCUUUCAAGGCUGAAGAAACCAAGAUGGAGGUUGUUGUCGUUAAACCAGACGACGUGGUGGCAAAGUAACUCAGAGAGUAGCGGAGCGAUGUUGUGGCUGAGAAGUCAUCGGUUUCAAUCCCAGUCCCAAAGACAAAUGUGGCAAGAGAAAGUGAAAAGCCCCAAGUGCAGCUGCUCAGUGGACACCAACAGACUGCUGGGACACUGCCGGUGUUGAACUGUAUCACAGGUGUGGCUGGAAGGCUGGAUGCACAUCCAAAGACUUUUAAACUGCGUCAAGUUUGAGGUUGUUUUUGAAAGUUCUUUUACUUUGAAAUUUAGUUGUUGAUGUAAUGUUUGAUGGUUUUUACUUUAUUUUCUUGAUUUUAGAAUGAAAUUGGGCAUUCAUGUAUUGAAAAUAUUGGAUCUUGCAAUUUUCUAAAUGCACUUAUGUUCUGGUCACUGUCAAAAAAAAAAAGAAUAAAUAUUUUUGCUUUGUACGGCUUCCUACAAUACUCACACACUUGUUUUAUUUUGAAAACACGGUCAUUUAGUUUUGAUGUGCUGAAGAACGUCAAUAUAGUGCAGAGGUAAUCUAGGUCAAAUGCUGGAUAAAUAAGUGGUGAAUGGUUUGACUACCUGGUUUUAAUACUUUAAACUAAACACCAGC